rnacentral:lncRNA from 1 species
AAGGCAUUAAUGUGAGUCUUGUGACAAUAAUAAAUAUCUCAUGUAAACAAAUUUAUACACAUAUUUUGGGAAAAUAUAAAUAAAUAUAAUAUAAAAAGUAUAUGAAUAUGUAUUAUUUUAAUAAAGUGUUUAGGGAUGGGGGAUAAAAUUUCCUACUCAUCCCAAAACCUCUUUCGGGGGAACUUGUUUCCUUCAUCCCCAUUACCACGAAAAAAAUUAUCAGCCUUCAAAUUCUCAAACGGAACAAUCCCCACGAGUAUUUCAAUUUACCGAUCAAAUUGACAUCAAUCCCUACCUACAAAGGUUAAAAUAAAAAAUAAAAAAGAAUAGUGCCGAAGAAAAAGACGAGUGAAUGGUUGAGCUUAAGGUGGGAUGAGCAACAUGAAAGGAAAAGCUGAAGAAAAUUUAAAUCAAAUUAAUAUAAAAAUACAACUUUUUGAGAAAAAAAAUUAAGAAUAUAAAGAGAGAAUGUCUCAUUUUACAUGUUGAAUUUGUAAGGAUAUGAGUUAGAUUUAAUAUAAAAAUUUAAUAGUGCCAUCGAUUGAGUCAUUUAUCAUUUUGUAUUUAUGUACCACCAAAUUCAAUAGUAUUCCUUUUGAUUCUAUUACUUUAAAGAAUAUAUCGAGAAAAGCUAAGUUUAUAAAAAUCGGCAUUGAUUCAUUAUUUUAUAAGACAGUUUUAUAAAGAUGAGUUGAGUAUAAUAUAAAAAUCUAAUAUAUUUGUUUGGAUGAAUUGUUUAGAAAAAAUUUAAUUUAAUUUUUAGUGGGAACAAUUAUCAAAUUUUACUUACUUCAAACUCUAAAUUAUCGGACCGUCUUUCUUGAAAACCAUAACAUUAAGACCAAAAAAGUCUUUUCAUGCAACUCUAACAUGAAUAAUAGAAUACUCCGUAUGAUAUAUGAAUUGAAGUACUAUCUGUUCAUAAUAUAUAGUAAAUGUUUUUACACUGUCAUUCAAUUAAAUUUGAUCAUAAAAUAGAUUAAUCUACAAAUCGUGACGGUACCUUUAUUUUAUUAUUGUUUAAAAUAUCUUAUAUCUAAUAUUGAUGCAUGCAAUGAAAUCUGAUCGAAUAGGUGUAAAGAAGUUCUGCACCACUUAUAUAAGUAUUCUGGUAUAUGAAAUGGCUUAUCGAUGGUUAUAACUUAUAACUUGUGUCAAAUUAUCUUUACCUUUUAUCGUGUGGCCAAAUUUCCUUUUCGUCAUUUUCAAAGUAUUUAAAAGAAGCAUAUUUUGUCUCUUCAAACUUUGAAUGAGCAAACCUAUAUAUGUAAUUUUUUUCUUCCUGUUAUGCCUCGUGAUUAUGAGGUAAAAAUCAG